CUGGGGUGGGGUCCCGAGAGUCUUCAGGUGCACAGGGCUGGAAACGGGGUCAGGGCUACCUUAUGCGCCCCACCCUUUCAAGGAAACUGAGGCCCAGAGAACAGCAGGUGCUGGCACUGGCAGGGCGAUCCCUGACGCUCGGGGAACAGUGUCAGCUCCACCGCUGGAACCCGUGUGUUCUGCCCAUAGCCCACCAUGGCCACCGGGGCCCGUCCCUGCUGCUGUAUGCUUGCCCAUGGCCCGAAUUUUAGGGCAUAGUCAGGGUGGGGGGUGCCUGGAGAUCACCCUGCUGGAGCUGACCUCUGUCCCCACCUGCAGUGCAGCCCAAGCGGGCUGAGCCCAGGGAGGCAUCCCCACUCCACAGCCUGGGCCACCUCAUCAUGGACCAGAGCUAUGUGUGCGCACUCAUCGCCAUGAUGGUGUGGAGCAUCACCUACCAUAGCUGGCUGACCUUUGUGCUGCUGCUCUGGGCCUGCCUCAUCUGGACAGUGCGCAGCCGCCACCAGCUGGCCAUGCUAUGUUCACCCUGCAUCCUGCUGUACGGGAUGACGCUGUGCUGUCUGCGCUACGUGUGGGCCAUGGACCUGCGCCCUGAGCUGCCUACCACCCUGGGCCCCGUCAGUCUGCGCCAGCUGGGGCUGGAGCACACCCGCUACCCCUGCCUGGACCUUGGCGCCAUGUUGCUCUACACCCUGACCUUCUGGCUCCUGCUGCGCCAGUUUGUGAAAGAGAAGCUGCUGAAGCGGGCAGAGGCUCCAGCUGCGCUAACGGAGGUCACUGUGGCAGACACAGGUGAGUGGCAGGCCAGAGGUGGGGGCUGCCCUCCUGCCCGCCCGCCCGCCCCGAUGCCAUCGCCUGCCCCCGGCUUGGCCCACAGAGCCCACGCGGACGCAGACCCUGCUGCAGAGCCUGGGGGAGCUGGUGAAGGGCGUCUAUG
rnacentral:lncRNA from 1 species